AGCGACGAAAUCUUUCAGAUUGUCCGCCGGAAAAUCCUUACGCGCGACCAGCACGAGCGGCGCUUCCAGGAACAAACCAAUGCUGCUGAAGUCCUUGGUCGCAUCAUAGGUCGGCUUCUUGUAGAGCAGUUGGUUCUGNNNNNUCCCGACCAGGAAGGUAUACCCGUCGGGCUGAGCCUUGGCGACGCGCUGCGCACCGAUCAUGCUGCCCGCCCCGCCGACGUUCUCAACAAUGACCUGCUGGCCGAGAACUUCACCCAUGCGCUGGGCAAACAUGCGCGCCGGGACAUCGUUCGGGCCACCGGCUGCGAACGGAUUGAUCAUCGUAAUGGGACGGCUCGGCCAGUCAUGGGCCGCAUGCACGCGGUCGAUGUCAACGAAAGUUACGGCCGCCGCCAUCACUGCA
rnacentral:misc_RNA from 1 species